GAUUUUGGGGGGUGGCUAGUGCCCGCCAGAGGACUAUCAAACUCCAGUUAGUAAACGUUGCAGUCUGAAAAAAAUAUUAAAUAAACUAAAACUUUCAACAACGGAUCUCUUGGUUCUGGCAUCGAUGAAGAACGCAGCGAAAUGCGAUAAGUAAUGUGAAUUGCAGAAUUCAGUGAAUCAUCGAAUCUUUGAACGCACAUUGCGCCCCUUGGUAUUCCGGGGGGCAUGCCUGUUCGAGCGUCAUUUCAACCCUCAAGCUCUGCUUGGUAUUGGGCACCGUCCUUUGCGGGCGCGCCUCAAAGACCUCGGCGGUGGCGUCUUGCCUCAAGCGUAGUAGAAUACACCUCGCUUCGGAGCGUAAGGCGUCGCCCGCCGGACGAACCUUCUGAACUUUUCUCAAGGUUGACCUCGGAUCAGGUAGGGAUACCCGCUGAACUUAAGCAUAUCAAUA
rnacentral:rRNA from 1 species